rnacentral:rRNA from 1 species
GACGAACGCUGGCGGCGUGCUUAACACAUGCAGGUCGAACGCGCCUGUCCUCUGGGUUUCUGGGGGGUGGGUGAGUGGCGAACGGGUGAGUAACACGUGAGUAACCUGCCCCCUUCUUCGGGAUAACGGUCUGAAAGGGCUGCUAAUACCGGGUAUUCACUGGUCUCCGCAUGGGGUCUGGUGGAAAGGUUUUUUUCUGGUGGGGGAUGGGCUCGCGGCCUAUCAGCUUGUUGGUGGGGUGAUGGCCCACCAAGGCUUUGACGGGUAGCCGGCCUGAGAGGGUGACCGGUCACAUUGGGACUGAGAUACGGCCCAGACUCCUACGGGAGGCAGCAGUGGGGAAUAUUGCACAAUGGGCGCAAGCCUGAUGCAGCGACGCCGCGUGAGGGAUGGAGGCCUUCGGGUUGUGAACCUCUUUCGCCCGUGGUCAAGCCGCGACGUGGGUCGUGGUGAGGGUAGUGGGUAAAGAAGCGCCGGCUAACUACGUG